rnacentral:miRNA from 1 species
GGUCAGCUGACACAUCCCUGCCAAUCUCCGGCACACCCUCCCUCCCAGACCCUCCUACUUCCUGGACAGCAUCCAUGUUGAAGGCAGCUUCAACAUGGAUGCUGUCCAGGAGGUGGGAGGGUCUGGGAGGGAGGGUCUGCCGGAGAUUGGCAAGGAUGUGUCAGCUG